rnacentral:rRNA from 1 species
AGGACGAACGCUGGCGGCGUGCUUAACACAUGCAAGUCGAGCGGAAAGGCCCUUCGGGGUACUCGAGCGGCGAACGGGUGAGUAACACGUGAGCAACCUGCCCCUGGCUCUGGGAUAGCCUCCGGAAAACGGGGAUUAAUACCGGACAUUCACUUCCUUCCGCAUGGUUGGUGGUGGAAAGUUUUUUCGGCCGGGGAGGGGCUCGCGGCCUAUCAGCUUGUUGGCGGGGUAACGGCCCACCAAGGCGACGACGGGUAG